rnacentral:rRNA from 1 species
UAAGGAAUAUUGGCCAAUGGAGGGAACUAUGAACCAGCCAUGCCGCGUGCAGGAAGACGGCCCUCUGUGUUGUAAACUGCUAUUAUUAGGGAAUAAACCACAUUACGUGUAGUGUGCUGAAUGUACCGAAGGAAUAAGGAUCGGCUAACUCCGUGCCAGCAGCCGCGGUAAUACGGAGGAUCCAAGCGUUAUCCGGAAUCAUUGGGUUUAAAGGGUCCGUAGGCGGUUUAAUAAGUCAGUGGUGAAAGCCAAUCGCUCAACGAUGGAACGGCCAUUGAUGCUAUUAGUCGUGUAUGUUGUUGAGGUGGUCUUAAUAUGUCAUGUAGCGGUGAAAUGCUUAGAUAUGACAAUGGAUACCGAUUGCGAAGGCAGCUUGCUAAACAACGAUGGACGCUGAAGCACUAAGGCUUGGGGAUCAAAUA